GAUGAACGCUGGCGGCGUGCCUAAUACAUGCAAGUCGAGCGAACGGACGAGAAGCUUGCUUCUCUGAUGUUAGCGGCGGACGGGUGAGUAACACGUGGAUAACCUACCUAUAAGACUGGGAUAACUUCGGGAAACCGGAGCUAAUACCGGAUAAUAUUUUGAACCGCAUGGUUCAAAAGUGAAAGACGGUCUUGCUGUCACUUAUAGAUGGAUCCGCGCUGCAUUAGCUAGUUGGUAAGGUAACGGCUUACCAAGGCAACGAUGCAUAGCCGACCUGAGAGGGGGUGCGCCCACAUGGGAAAGAAGACAGGGCCAACACCCCUGGGGGGGGCGGCAGAGGGAAUUCGCCCCAAAGGGGCGAAGCCCUGAGGGACCACGGCGGGGGGAGGAAGGAGGGUCUGGGGAUCUAAAAACUUUUUUAUAGGGAAAAAAAAUAGGGGAAAUAAACUGUACACAUCUGGAGGGGACCAAAGAAGAAACCCCGGCCAACCUAGG
rnacentral:rRNA from 1 species